UAUGUAGGGGGCAAGCGUUGUCCGGAUUUAUUGGGCGUAAAGAGCGUGUAGGCGGUCUGGUAGGUCAGCUGUGAAAACUCGAGGCUCAACCUCGAGACGCCGGUUGAAACCAUCUGACUAGAGUCCGGAAGAGGAGAGUGGAAUUCCUGGUGUAGCGGUGAAAUGCGCAGAUAUCAGGAAGAACACCCGUGGCUAAGGCGGCUCUCUAGUACGGUACUGACGCUGAGACGCGAAAGCGUGGGGAGCGAACAGG
rnacentral:rRNA from 1 species